GACGAACGCUGGCGGCGUGCUUAACACAUGCAAGUCGAACGAAGUGGCGAACGGGUGAGUAACGCGUAAUCAACCUGCCCUUCAGAGGGGGACAACAGGUGGAAACGACUGCUAAUACCGCAUACGGAAGGAGGGGAUGGCGUCUGAUUAGCUAGUGGGAGGGGUAACGGCCCACCAAGGCGAUGGUCAGUAGCCGGUCUGAGAGGGUGGACGGCCAAAUUGGGACUGGGACACGGCCCCGACUCCUACGGGAGGGCGCAGUGGGGAAACUUCCGGAAUGGACGAAAGUCUGACGGAGCAACGCCGGGGGAGUGAUGACGGCCUUCGGGUUGUAAAGCUCUGUUAAUCGGGACGCGGUACCGGAAUAGAAAGCCACGGCUAACUACGUGCCAGCAGCCGCGGUAAUAC
rnacentral:rRNA from 1 species